rnacentral:rRNA from 1 species
UACAGAGGUCCCAAGCGUUGUUCGGAUUCACUGGGCGUAAAGGGUGCGUAGGCGGUUUGACAAGUCUGAUGUGAAAUCCCGCAGCUUAACUGCGGAACUGCAUUGGAAACUGUUUGACUAGAGGAAUGGAGGGGAGACUGGAAUACUUGGUGUAGCAGUGAAAUGCGUAGAUAUCAAGUGGAACACCAGUGGCGAAGGCGGUUGCCUGGGGCUUUGCUGACGCUGAUGCGCGAAAGCGUGGGGAGCGAUCCGG